GCACUCCUCAGACAUGACUUUUAGAGUUAUAACAAAAAUUAUGUUGAUUUAGUAACUUUACUGCUUUCUCUCCUUACUGAUUUCACAGUGAAGAAACAAAGAUAGAAAUCUUUGUGUUCCUUCAAUACACGAAGAUGCUAUUUCUGAGAUUAUCUGGGACAAUAGGUAUGAUAAUACCAUUUUAGAUAUGGGCGCUCUUGUACAACCCCAUUACUCAGGUUACUGAUGAAGAUCUGGAUUCAGCUGCCCUGCCCUGAUUUCAGUUUCCAGUUCUGACAUGGGAUGGCUCCUUUUACAGCUCCCUGUGAAUAGUCAGGUCUUCCAUCUGAAGAUGUCAGUGUUCUACAGCUAUUGCUGAAAUAGAUGAUUAAAGUCUGCAAAUUAUUCUUGUCAGAGUGGACUCUGAAAAUCAAUACCAACUGCAGCCCUGUU
rnacentral:lncRNA from 1 species